CGGAUCCUCAAGUGUCCUUUGAAAUCCCACGGCUCAACCGUGGAACUGGGGGGCAAACUGGUGAUCUUGAGGCAGUUAGGGGUGGGUGGAACUCUUGGUGGAGCGGUGGAAUGCGUAGAUAUCAAGAGGAACGCCAGAGGUGAAAACGACCCACUGGGACUGUCCUGACGCUGAGGUACGAAAGCGUGGGUAGCGAACGGGAUUAGAUACCCCGGUAGUCCACGCCGUAAACGAUGCCUACUAGACCAUGGUACUCUGACUGUAUCAUGGUUGUAGCAAAAGUGUUAAGUAGGCCGCCUGGGGAGUACGGUCGCAAGGCUAAAACUCAAAGGAAUUGACGGGGGCUCACACAAGCGGUGGAGCAUGUGGAUUAAUUCGAAGCAAAGCGCAGAACCUUACCUGGGUUUGACAUGUCUGGAUGCCGCCCUGGAAACAGGGUUGGUUGCUCCUUCGGGAGUGAAACUUACACAGGUGCUGCAUGGCUGUCGUCAGCUCGUGUCGUGAGAUGUUGGGUUAAGUCCUUAAACGAGCGAAACCCUUACCGUUAGUUACCAUCAGGUUAUGCUGGGGACUCUAGCGGGACUGCCGGUGUUAAACCGGAGGAAGGUGGGGAUGACGUCAAGUCCUCAUGGCCUUUAUGCCCAGGGCUUCACACGUGCUACAAUGGUAAUGACAGAGCGAUGCGAGACCGCGAGGUGGAGCAAAUCGCAUAAACAUUGCCUCAGUUCGGAUUGCAGUCUGACAACUCGGCUGCAUGAAGUUGGAAUCGCUAGUAAUC
rnacentral:rRNA from 1 species